rnacentral:miRNA from 1 species
UACUGUAUUUGGUCGUUUAAAG